rnacentral:tRNA from 3 species
GGUCGUUUAGCUCAGCUGGGAGAGCACCUCCCUUACAAGGAGGGGUCACUGGUUCGAGCCCAGUAACGACCACCA